rnacentral:lncRNA from 1 species
UGCCACCAGGCGGCUGCUGCUGGUAUGUGGGAGGCUGCUGCUGGUAGGCAGGUGGCUGCUGAUACCCAGGUUGCUGCUGAUGGUAGGCAGGUGUCUG